CACUUAGGGAUUCUGUAGGGACUGGGAAGAGAAAAACAUCUUUACAGAAUAUGUACAUUGCUGUAGACUUAGAAGUGAAAUGACCGUGUGCGUGUACACGUCCUUUUGACUGACUAAACCAGUGGCCUAGGAUUAAGGUGAUGAGGGACCUGCUGACUGUGGGACUCGUGGAGUUGAUGAACUGUGGAGCUUUCUUUAAAGGAGGAUGGCCUGAGACCUGUGGCCCCUGAAAGCUAAGUUGAGGGAUGGGUGCUGGGGGGGACAAAGUUGGGAAUUGCAGGGAGGGGUUUUAAAGUCAAGAGCUGGGGAGAGGGCUGUCUGGGAACUGUCCCUUUGGGCAGGUAAAGGCAGUGGGUUACUCUUCAGCGUGAUGUCAGCGUGUGCCAGGCAGGGCAGCUCCAGCCUGCGUGUGUCAUGGUGUAGUUUGUGUGGUCUGUUGUCUUUUGUGUCUCAAACCCUCCUUGGGUCCCAGUCUCCUCUUUGUGCUCCAGGAGCACAGCACUCGCCUUGCAGCCCAUCCUUAGGUCUUGAGCAUCAUCUGUGCUCACCAUCGUAGUGCCCGUGGGGCGCUGCUUUUCUUGCCUGAACUCAAAAGCCCCGCUGGGCCUCGCGACUCGGGUGUCUCCUCUUGAUCCUCUUUUUGCGCCGGUGUUGCGGUCGGUGUCGUCAGCCCCGCUCUGGAGGCUUCUCUUUCACAGGGAGAAUCUCUCUUUUCUGGGCAUUCUUCCCUGUGUCCUUGCAUUCUUGGGUCUUGCCAAGGCUUCUCGUGCAUCCGUCUGCUUCAGUUCUGACUGUAGCUUCUUGUCAUGGUUUGCAAUGUUUGACCUUUCUCUGGGGCUGCCUUACGGGCUCCUUACUGCUGAAAUCACGAGUGAAUUGAGUAUAGGAAUAUUGGGACUAAUGUGUUAAUUAAAGGGAUAUCAGUUCAAAUUGCAUGCCUGUUAAAGACUUGUGCAAACUGACCACUGCUUGACCUAAGCGACUUGACUUUGGACUGGACUUGUGACUUGACUUAGCCUGAGUAUCUGGAGUGAUGAGGCCUUAGGCUGCCAUUCUAAUUAAUCUUCAGCUGAACUCCUGUGAUGAGCCUUAGUUAGACCUUGACUCUACCAGCUGUAAUAAUAUGGAAACAAGAUGUGGGCAAGAUAAUUACUCAAGACGAUCUUCUGAACUGCGAAGAUGCAUUGACUGAAAGUUAAGUGGGAACAACUGGACAAAAUCAGAAUGUGGAAGAUUUUUCCAGCUGAGAAACAAGUGGAAGAGAACAAGACUGGAAGCACCCAGCUCGAGCUGCAGUAAACUGGUUCUGUGGCAGAACUGAGGGUCUGAGCUUCUCUCUCAGGUUGGAGGUGAAGACUGGAUCCAGCUGCACCUAGGCUCUGCCCUGAGAAGAAGCUGAGAAACCAAGGAGGUCCUGUCUGAAGCUCACAACUCAAAAGGAGGGACUUUUGGGACUCCUCACCUGGUGGCAUCUGCAUUGGAGGAGGAGUUUUUUUGUUGCUGAGAGUUUCCUCUCGUGCUUGUGUCACAUCCUUUGUGUUUGUGUGUUGUGUCUCUGUGCUGUUGGGUUGGAGCUGCUCUCUCUGGAGGCUGUAGCAGCUGUGGGGUUGGGAGAAGAACAGCAAGGAGAGCCUGUGGUUUGUGUUGCUGUGCUGUCUGUGCCUGUUGGGGUGCAGAUGGAGCAUUUGAAGUGAAGUAGCAGCCCUCAGCAGGGGAGGGUGGUCAUUUUCCUAGUGUUUUUGAGAGGGGGUGGCUGGAGCCACCUGGGAGAGGCUGCUGGAGCCAUAGCCAAGCAGGUUGGGUGCCCAGGUUGUUAAGGCCUGAAUGUGUGGGGCGUAAUGUUAACUUGUUUUUUAGCUUCCCUGUAGGUAGUUAGGAUCCAAAAGAUGUUCCUAAAUGGGAAUCUCUGGAAUUGCAUCCAGCUGAUUGCUUGUUACUGCUUUUUCAGAUGCAGGGAGAGGAGCCACGCAGCAGAGGGUGAUGGAGGAGAGGAGCAGAGCGCGGUGAGGAGCUGGGUCGGUGCGUAUUGAAGAGUCUGGGUGAGUUGUCCCCUGGGUUGUGAGGGAAGGUGUGAGUGGUGCCUCUAUCGACUGGCUCAUGGUUUGGGUUUGUUUUGUAGGUGCAAAGCACCGAGGGAAGCGGGAGAUCUGCACUGGAGGUGACUCGAGCAAGGCAGCACACAGGGCUGGACGUGGCAACCUGUGACCAUCAGAGGCCGGACAGGUGAGCCACGAAGUUUUGCAGCCUUGGAGCAGUGGAGCAGCAUGCCAACGGGCCAUCUGUGGAGAUGACACAGGCAUCAGCCAGAUGCCACAAGCAAGGAUGGCCUCAGCAUCCGAUUCUGGAACCAGAAGAUCACUAUGAGGAGCCUGGCGAUGGCAGGAACAUCCCGGCAAGGAUGGCUUGUCGAGGAGGAAGGCUGCAGAGCCCUGGCCAUCUGAAAGCUAAGUGGAGGGGCUGGGAGGAGGGGACAAGGUUGGGGAUUGGAGGGGGGGGUUUCAAAGUUGGUGUGGGAGAGAGGGCUGGCAGGGCACAGUCCCCUUGGGGCAGGUCAAGGGACGGGUUACUCUUCAGCACAAUGUCAGUGUGUACAGGGCAGGGCAGCUCCAACCUGUGUCUGGCGUGUACUUCGUGUCGUCUGUUUUCUGUGUCUCAGACUGUAUGUUCCUUGGGUCUUGGUGCCUCCAUAGCCUGGUGAUCAGCAGGCACCUUGGUAGCCCUCCCAAGAGUCCGGAAUGCAUCACUUCACUGGCACAGAGCCUGUUGAGCCCUUCUCAUCUCACAAUUACAGCUUGACGCGUGGAUCUCUUUGGCGUGUGUCACAUCCUGGCUGUUUCUGAGCGUUCAUCUCUUGCGGUGGCCAGCCAGGUGCUGCCCGCAGCUCUGCUCUUGAGUCUUCUGUUUCCACAGAGUCAUCUUCUGGGGUUUCAUCCCCGUGUCCUCACUGGUCUUAGGUCUUCCAGCUCAGCUUCUCACACAUCCCUCAUUCUAGUUUUGAUGGCAGCUUUCUCUUGUGUGCGGCGGCAAUUGCCUCUCCUUGGCAGGUCUGCUUUAGAGCAUCUGUGCCAUCGUGGCACCGCAGGGCUUCUCUGCCGGCAUCAUCUUCCCUAUGGGAAUUGUUCUCCUGUCCUGUGGUCUUCUCAUGUAUCGUGGUCACGUUGCUUUACUUGAUAAAGUGGAAUCUUUCACUGAGCAAGGACAAGAGAGUCACAGAAAGUUACAGAGUUCUUGUGAAACAAAGAUCCUGCUGUUCAAACAAGAAGAUGAGGAGGUACUUGCUUUGCUUAAAAUGUGGCAAAACUGCCAAAGUUGCUGUAGGUGAGUGAUCUCUUCUGCUUGCUGCAAGAUCAUGAAUAUGAAAACCCCACCUCCAGCACUUAGGCUGCCCACCUCCAACUGAAGACCCCCACUCACUGUGUGUGCUGUAGCUCUAAAUCAGAGCGAGACAUUCACUAACCAAUCAGAGUAGAAUAACUGAAUAUGUAUUAGGUGGAGGAAACUAACCAAAAGUGUGUGAAUGUGUAGAGUUUUGUGACUUCAGGGGGCAGCUUUGCAGCUUACCACCUAGCACCUCAUUUGUGCAAACAUGCAAUAAAUGAAAAUACCUUGGCUCUGUAUGUAUUUUGGCAUCUUGCACACCAGGUGAAUGACCCCACUUUUGGUAUAACGAGGUAUAACACUCGUCGUAUCCGUGUGUAGUCCUGGUCUGUGUGUGAGGGUUGGAGCUGCCCUGCCCAGGGGUGCAGCAGUACUGAUGACAGGGUAGCGUAGCUUUAUGGGGGUGUGGAAGUAAGUUGGUUUGGACCAGUUCUGUUGGCAGAGACCAUACGGUCCAUCUCUGGGCCAACAGGUGUAGGCAGCUGCCACAGUUGUGUUUUCUUUACGGUCCGGGGCUAGGAUUGGAUCCAGCCGCACCUAGACUCCUCUGAGAAGGAGUUUAGAAAGCAAGGGGGUCCAGUCUGAACCUCGUGACUGGUUGGGAGCAGCAGUUAGUGUGGAAGGGGAGCGGGUCAGAUCUGGAAGGUGCCUUAGCUUGCACAGAUGGGGCUCCCUAGCUGGCUUUUCUUCUUCUAGCUGUAGUGAGAAGGUAUAUGCAAAAGGCAGAGAGACCUCUGGCCUCACCAAGCUACCUGUGGCUGUGCAGGUGACUUGCUUUACAGGGUGUGUUUGUGUUGUUUCAGAUGCAGAGCAACAAGCAGCACGGCCAAGGGCACGGAAGAGGGGAGCAGAGUGCAGGCUGAAGAAGGACAGGCAUCCAGCGCCGGAGUAUCGGCAGGACAGCUGGUGGUUCUGACAAGCUUGAGCUUCUCUGGCUGGAUUUUCUGGGUGUGAAUCCAAGUGUGAAGCGAGAUGUUAUCAGCAGAGCGGCCUCUGGCAAGGUGUUGGGGUUUUUAUUUUGGAGGCACAAGGCCAGGAGCAGAGCAGGACAUCAGCACUGCAGGUGACUCGGGGGAGGUGGUACACAAGCCCUCCUAGUCCCCUGGGGUCCCCGCCUGGAUGAUUCAGGAUGGCCUGGUGCUGUGCAUUGCAUUUCCAGAGACAAACAGCAGCUUGGCAGCCUGUGGUCAGGACUCCAGAGAGAUUUGAGAAGGCCCCAGAGCACCUUCUGCAUCCUCUCUCAGUCAGCAUGUGAGUGAAGUGAUGCAGGAUUCCCACCUCUGUGCUGGCCCCACGUGCCGUUCUUUUCCCCUGUGGUUCCAGACUGUCAGCAUGGGAGAGACUUGCUUCCCCUCCAGGUCCAAGUGUUUCCCAGUGCAUGAGGGACCUGCCACAGAACCUGAGCUUUCCUGUUGCAUUGACUGAAGAGCUGCAUAACACUUAGAGCCUGGUGUAGGUUGGCUUCUUCCUGCUAAGAAGCCAUUUCUUUACAAAAUGCUUUUCUUUGUCUAAGAUGGAGACAUACAAGUAGUGGUGACCAGAUCUGUGCUUGAAAAUGGACUUGAUGGAAAGUACCAAACUUGUCUUUUGUUGCAAUCCGUAAUGAUUUUUUUGGCCUCUUUUUUUUGUACUGCUUCUCAAAUACAGUUUUCCAGCCUUUUUUUAAAUUUAAGCAGCCAUUGAAAGAAAAACCAGCACUCAGAAUAUUGAUGGAAAAAUAAUUGUGAACAAUUUCAAAACUUCACAGAUUUGUUUAUAAGAUUAAUUUAUUUGAAAAAGUGACACACUUGUUGCUAAUCAAUUAAUAACACACUAUUUUCACUUCAUAAUGGAGUCACAAGCUGCUGUCCUCAGACCCUGAUCUCUGGGAGGCUCUUUGUAGAAAAUCAUGCAUAGGAAUAGGAUCAUCCUCUAGGAAAGCUGGAAACACUGUGGUUCAUAAAUUGGAUUUUUUUGUGGAGUAAAACCUGGCCGUGUUGGGCAAGCCUCCUGGAAAUACCCCUGCUUUCCUAGGAACUUGCUGGAGAAAUCCCCAGGCAGACUGACCAUGACACCUGAAGCAGAUACCAGCCACUGGUGUGUUCAGAUGCUGAAUGAAUAUUUCUCAUGUUCCCUUUGAACUGCUGGAAACCUGCCAGAGUUAAAUCCCAUCUUUCAUCUCUGGAGCUUUGCUGUUUUCCUUAUUUUUUUGCCUAAGGUGCAUGAUCUGAGGUGUUAGUGUUUGAACUUGGACUGGAAGAUGCAGUUAAAAUACUCGUCUUUAUGCAGAAAGCAACCAGGGGAGACAUUCUCGAGUGUAAGUGUGGUAAUUAAUAAGAUUGUAAUGAUGAGAAAAUCAGACUUUCUUCUGGAAAUCACUAGCAAGUUACAACCAAAGAAAGAAGUGGAUGUCAGGAUAAGGAACCCUGUGACCAUAUGGCAUUGGAAGACAUGCAUUAGGUGUUCUCUCUGUGGUUUGGCUUGACAAAACCAGUGUGGAAAAGACAGCUGAGGAGGUUCUGCUCCUCUGUGUCAUGAUAGAAGAGGAAAAUGAUAAUGAAAUGUGAAACUCUGAAGUAGCUCAGCAAAUUUCAGUGUUCUGCUUAUUACAGGGACAACUGAAAUUCCCCAUAUAGAUUCUGUGCUUUAAAAUACAACAAUUCAAAUGAACAAAACUGAUCUCAGCUGGUGCAUUUCUUGACCAAGUGGGGUUCUAUGGUCUCUCUGAGCAGCCUAUCAGCUGAACUGCUGGGAUUUUCCAUUUCUUGGUGUUUUGUUUUUUUUUUUUUAAUUUUUACAUGACUAAGAGUGAGUUAUGUGGAAAAUCAACUCCAGGAAGCUUAUCUCAGUGGAACCCAAGAAAAAGUAACAUGCAUAAAUUAGGAUGAACUAUAUCCUGAGAUGAGCUUUACUAAUCAGGUUAAAAGAAGAUACAGAGACCUGAGAGUAUUUUAAUGUUACAUAAAUAAAUUUUUAUCUAUAUAACAGCA